UGGGGAAUAUUGCACAAUGGGCGCAAGCCUGAUGCAGCCAUGCCGCGUGUGUGAAGAAGGCCUCGGGUUGUAAAGCACUUUCAGCGAGGAGGAAGGUGGUGAGCUUAAUACGCUCAUCAAUUGACGUUACUCGCAGAAGAAGCACCGGCUAACUCCGUGCCAGCAGCCGCGGUAAUACGGAGGGUGCAAGCGUUAAUCGGAAUUACUGGGCGUAAAGCGCACGCAGGCGGUUUGUUAAGUCAGAUGUGAAAUCCCCGGGCUCAACCUGGGAACUGCAUUUGAAACUGGCAAGCUAGAGUCUCGUAGAGGGGGUAGAAUUCCAGGUGUAGCGGUGAAAUGCGUAGAGAUCUGGAGGAAUACCGGUGGCGAAGGCGGCCCCCUGGACGAAGACUGACGCUCAGGUGCGAAA
rnacentral:rRNA from 1 species